rnacentral:rRNA from 1 species
AUACGUAGGGGGCAAGCGUUGUCCGGAAUCAUUGGGCGUAAAGGGCGCGUAGGCGGAUAUUUAAGUCUGGUGUGAAACCCCAGGGCUCAACCCUGGGACUGCAUCGGAAACUGGGUAUCUUGAGGACAGGAGAGGAAAGUGGAAUUCCACGUGUAGCGGUGAAAUGCGUAGAUAUGUGGAGGAACACCAGUGGCGAAGGCGACUUUCUGGACUGUAACUGACGCUGAGGCGCGAAAGCGUGGGGAGCAAACAGGAUUAGAUACCCUGGUAGUCCACGCCGUAAACGAUGAGUGCUAGGUGUAGAGGGUAUCGACCCCUUCUGUGCCGCAGUAAACACAAUAAGCACUCCGCCUGGGGAGUACGGCCGCAAGGCUGAA